rnacentral:rRNA from 1 species
CAGAGCUUGCUCUGCUGAUCAGUGGCGAACGGGUGAGUAACACGUGAGUAACCUGCCCUUGACUCUGGGAUAAGCGCUGGAAACGGCGUCUAAUACCGGAUACGACCUUCCCCGGCAUCGGGUGGGGGUGGAAAGAUUUUUUGGUCAAGGAUGGACUCGCGGCCUAUCAGCUUGUUGGUGAGGUAAUGGCUCACCAAGGCGACGACGGGUAGCCGGCCUGAGAGGGUGACCGGCCACACUGGGACUGAGACACGGCCCAGACUCCUACGGGAGGCAGCAGUGGGGAAUAUUGCACAAUGGGCGAAAGCCUGAUGCAGCAACGCCGCGUGAGGGAUGACGGCCUUCGGGUUGUAAACCUCUUUUGGCAGGGAAGAAGCGAAAGUGACGGUACCUGCAGAAAAAGCACCGGCUAACUACGUGCCAGCAGCCGCGGUAAUACGUAGGGUGCGAGCGUUGUCCGGAAUUAUUGGGCGUAAAGAGCUCGUAGGCGGUUUGUCGCGUCUGCUGUGAAAUCCCGAGGCUCAACCUCGGGCCUGCAGUGGGUACGGGCAAACUAGAGUGCAGUAGGGGAGACUGGAAUUCCUGGUGUAGCGGUGGAAUGCGCAGAUAUCAGGAGGAACACCGAUGGCGAAGGCAGGUCUCUGGGCUGUAACUGACGCUGAGGAGCGAAAGCGUGGGGAGCGAACAGGAUUAGAUACCCUGGUAGUCCACGCCGUAAACGUUGGGC